rnacentral:rRNA from 1 species
AUUGAACGCUAGCGGCAUGCUUUACACAUGCAAGUCGGACGAGUGGCGGACGGGUGAGUAACAUAUCGGAACGUACCGAGUAAUGGGGGAUAACUACUCGAAAGAUUAGCUAAUACCGCAUACUAUUCGAGCGGCCGAUAUCUGAUUAGCUGGUUGGUGGGGUAAAGGCCUACCAAGGCGACGAUCAGUAGCGGGUGUGAGAGGAUGAUCCGCCACACUGGGACUGAGACACGGCCCAGACUCCUACGUGAGGCUGCAGUGGGGAAGUUUGGACAAUGGGGGCAAGCCUGCUCCAGCCAUGCCGCGUGUCUGAAGAAGUCCUUCGGGUUGUAAAGGACUUUUGUCAGGGAAGCGGGACCUGAAGAAUAAGCACCGGCUAACGACGUGCCAGCAGCCGCGGUAAUUC